rnacentral:tRNA from 1 species
GGGGGUGCGCCGCAGUUGGAGAGGCGGGCUGGACUGUAAAUCCAGUGCUUCGGCUGAAUAGGUUCGAAUCCUAUCACCCCCACCA